GAUGAACGCUGGCGGCGUGCCUAAUACAUGCCAGUCGAGCGAACGGACGAGAAGCUUGCUUCUCUGAUGUUAGCGGCGGACGGGUGAGUAACACGUGGAUAACCUACCUAUAAGACUGGGAUAACUUCGGGAAACCGGAGCUAAUACCGGAUGAUAUUUUGAACCGCAUGGUUCAAGAGUGAAAGACGGUCUUGCUGUCACUUAUAGAUGGAUCCGCGCUGCAUUAGCUAGUUGGUAAGGUAACGGCUUACCAAGGCAACGAUGCAUAGCCGACCUGAGAGGGUGAUCGGCCACACUGGAACUGAGACACGGUCCAGACUCCUACGGGAGGCAGCAGUAGGGAAUCUUCCGCAAUGGGCGAAAGCCUGACGGAGCAACGCCGCGUGAGUGAUGAAGGUCUUAGGAUCGUAAAACUCUGUUAUUAGGGAAGAACAAAUGUGUAAGUAACUGUGCACAUCUUGACGGUACCUAAUCAGAAAGCCACGGCUAACUACGUG
rnacentral:rRNA from 1 species